UGAGUAACACGUGGGCAAUCUGCCCUGCACUUCGGGAUAAGCCUGGGAAACUGGGUCUAAUACCGGAUAGGACCUUUAGACGCAUGUCUUUUGGUGGAAAGCUUUUGCGGUGUGGGAUGGGCCCGCGGCCUAUCAGCUUGUUGGUGGGGUGAUGGCCUACCAAGGCGACGACGGGUAGCCGGCCUGAGAGGGUGUCCGGCCACACUGGGACUGAGAUACGGCCCAGACUCCUACGGGAGGCAGCAGUGGGGAAUAUUGCACAAUGGGCGCAAGCCUGAUGCAGCGACGCCGCGUGGGGGAUGACGGCCUUCGGGUUGUAAACCUCUUUCACCAUCGACGAAGGUUCGGGUUUUCUCGGAUUGACGGUAGGUGGAGAAGAAGCACCGGCCAACUACGUGCCAGCAGCCGCGGUAAUACGUAGGGUGCGAGCGUUGUCCGGAAUUACUGGGCGUAAAGAGCUCGUAGGUGGUUUGUCGCGUUGUUCGUGAAAUCUCACGGCUUAACUGUGAGCGUGCGGGCGAUACGGGCAGACUAGAGUACUGCAGGGGAGACUGGAAUUCCUGGUGUAGCGGUGGAAUGCGCAGAUAUCAGGAGGAACACCGGUGGCGAAGGCGGGUCUCUGGGCAGUAACUGACGCUGAGGAGCGAAAGCGUGGGGAGCGAACAGGAUUAGAUACCCUGGUAGUCCACGCCGUAAACGGUGGGUACUAGGUGUGGGUUUCCUUCCUUGGGAUCCGUGCCGUAGCUAACGCAUUAAGUACCCCCGCCUGGGGGAGUACGGCCGCAAGGCUAAAACUCAAAAGGAAUUUGACGGGGGGCCCGCACAA
rnacentral:rRNA from 1 species